rnacentral:sRNA from 1 species
CUUUAUACCCAGUGCAUCAAUGUCAUCGCAGUCGGGAAUGUCUGCCCUUGAUUUUAUAGGAUCGUUAGAAUAAUAUAAAUGUAUUCUUCUACCGAUUCUAGAAGAAAGGGCGGACAUUCCCGACUGCUAUUACAAUUACGCAGUGGACUUAUUCCAGAAUUUAGUCUUUAGUUGCUUACCUUGAUCUAUCCACAUUUCACACAACGAAAACGAAAACUGAAUCAUUUUGUACCUGUUUUGGCUGGUUUUGUCAUAGCGUAUGAAAUUAAAAGUCAUUUUUAAAGAUAAAAUAAAAUAAAAUAUCUAAAAUAAAAGCUUUUAAGCUCUCUAUAAAUUUUC